rnacentral:rRNA from 1 species
AUGGGUUGCUCGGGCUCCAAGGAAGUGGCGGUGGCCGAGGUUGCCUACCGCCCUCCGGCCACCAGCGUUUCCCUCUUCGACAUCAGCGCCGUCGAGGAGCCGUGGCUCAUCGCCAAGCAGAACGCCGCCACCAACGGCGACGUCGAGGCAGAGCAGAGUGAUGACGAAUACGAAGACGACGAUGAAGAGGAGGAGGAGGAAGAGCAGGACGCCAAGAAGCCCACCGCCGGCGUGGCGCUCCCUAUCCUCGACAAGCUCGACGGCUACGAGCUCGCGCCGGCGUCGUGGUCCGAGGUGAGCAAGGCCCUUGAAGACAUCAAGCCUACGCUCGACUCCAAGCAAACGACGGACCCCAAGCCUGCCCCCAAGAAGAAAAAGAAGAAGAAGAAGCAACCAGCUGAGGCACAGGCCCAGCCGGCGGCACCGCCGCCAACUCAGAAGGAGCAGACGUCCCAGACGCCGUCUGUUGCCGGCACGGGAGAGGCUGCCAAGAAGGCCCCGCCACCGCCGACGCCGUACGCGCGUGGCGCAUCGGAUUCUGACACGAGGAAGCCCGCGCCGCCGGAGCUCACAGGGCGGCGCGUCGUGAAAGAAAACCCCUUCCUGCUGCGGGACCGCGAGACCAAGAACGCGGACGGGACCGCCACCGCGCCCAAGUGGCGCCGGAGGGACCCGUUUGAGGGGUAUCCCGAGCGACGCCCCCCGGGCGCGAGCGGCGGCGGGGUGGUGCUGUACACGACGACGCUCCGUGGCGUGCGGCGCACGUUCGAGGAAUGCGAGCGCGCGCGUGCGGCGGUCGAGAUGUGCGCGGAGGCGGCGGGCCUGACCGUGGACGAGCGCGACGUGGCGCUGCACGGGGAGUACCUGCGCGAGCUCCGGGAGCUGCUGGCGGCCGACGAGGAGCAGGGCGCCGGCGUCUCGCCGCCGCCGAGGCUGUUCGUGAUGGGGCGGUACCUGGGCGGCGCGGAGGCGUGCGCGGAGCUGGUGGAGAGCGGGAAGCUGGCGGAGAUGCUGCGUUGGGCCAGGGCGCGCGGGGAGGCGUGCGCGGCCAAGGACGGCCGCGGCUGCGAGGGGUGCGGCGGGGCGCGGUUCGUGCCGUGCCUGGAGUGCGGCGGCGGCUGCAAGGUGGUGGUCGGCGGCACCGGCGGCGUGGUCGAGAGGUGCGGCAAGUGCAACGAGAACGGCUUGAUGAUGUGCCCCAUCUGCCACUGA